GAUCUCAUCUCGCACUAUUGUGGGAAACCUGUGAACCACCUCCAGCCCUUUGCUGGAUAUAAACGACCAAGUACAAACCCUUCUCUGAGCCGUUGUGCCAGCACCUCCAACGCUCUUCCCAACGCUGACCACUGGGUGCUGGCCCAGGCCCAUGUAAGAAAGAACACUUGGAUUCUGUGGGGCCGUGGGAGGUGGAGGAUAACAUUUGGAGAGUGCCAGCGGUCAGCAGGGCUCUGUGCCAAGUGUCUUAUAUUUGGAGUCUGGGUCAGGGCCCUGAUUUAUCACUGCAUGUAUGGCUUGGCCCUGGAGGACUGUUCACACAGCCUUGAUGUAGAUUUUCAUCACACUCCCCAAGUGAGGGAAACUUGCGGCCAUACUUGUGUGUGUUCUAUGUAAAAUGUGAUAAAUGUUAAAUAUACUGCAAAUCUGGUAA
ensembl:lncRNA novel transcript